UACGUAGGGUGCGAGCGUUGUCCGGAAUUAUUGGGCGUAAAGGGCUCGUAGGCGGUUUGUCACGUCGGGAGUGAAAACUCGGGGCUCAACCCCGAGCCUGCUUCCGAUACGGGCAGACCAGAGGUAUGCAGGGGAGAAUGGAAUUCCUGGUGUAGCGGUGAAAUGCGCAGAUAUCAGGAGGAACACCGGUGGCGAAGGCGGUUCUCUGGGCAUUACCUGACGCUGAGGAGCGAAAGUGUGGGGAGCGAACAGG
rnacentral:rRNA from 1 species